ACCGAGGAAGUUACGGGAAGCUGUGCUGCGUCGAUCACAUGAUACUGUAACAGGAGGACAUCUCGGAAUUAGGAAGACAUUGAGUCAUCUACGACAAAGAUUUUAUUGGUUAGGUAUGAGGCGAGAAGUGGAAGAAUGGUGCCAGACAUGCAGUACAUGUAGUGC